UACGUAGGGCGCAAGCGUUGUCCGGAUUUAUUGGGCGUAAAGAGCUCGUAGGCGGUUUGUCGCGUCGAAUGUGAAAACCCGGGGCUCAACCCCGGGCCUGCAUUCGAUACGGGCAGACUAGAGUUCGGUAGGGGAGUCUGGAAUUCCUGGUGUAGCGGUGAAAUGCGCAGAUAUCAGGAGGAACACCGGUGGCGAAGGCGGGACUCUGGGCCGAUACUGACGCUGAGGAGCGAAAGCGUGGGGAGCAAACAGG
rnacentral:rRNA from 1 species